rnacentral:rRNA from 1 species
UACAGAGGUCUCAAGCGUUGUUCGGAUUCAUUGGGCGUAAAGGGUGCGUAGGCGGCGCGGUAAGUCCGCUGUGAAAGUCGGGGGCUCAACCCUCGAAAGCCGGUGGAUACUGUCGGGCUCGAGUACGGGAGAGGCGAGUGGAAUUCCUGGUGUAGCGGUGAAAUGCGCAGAUAUCAGGAGGAACACCGGUGGCGAAGGCGGCUCUCUGGGCCUUACCUGACGCUGAGGAGCGAAAGCGUGGGUAGCGAACAGG